rnacentral:ncRNA from 1 species
UUGAACAGGUCAAGUUUGACAGGUUUCCUCGGGCCAGGAGUCGUUAGUUCUAUUGGGGGCGAGACUUAGAUGACUCUACAAGGCAUCGCUUUGGUACUCGAGGCGAAGCAGAUGAGCCAAAGCUACUCGGCAAGGCUCAUCGGAGCCGGGGUGCCGAAUUAGGGCUUAUGCUUGUCUAAGCCCUGUGGCAAUCACGCCAGACCACCGUGGAAAGUGUGAGAUCGCGGUCUCAUAGAAAUAGCCAAAAGCCUCGUCAUCUAAUUAGUGACGCGCAUGAAUGGAUUAACCAGAUUCUCUGUGACCCUACCCACUAUCUAGCGAAACCACUGCCAAGGGAACGGGCUUGGAAAAAUUAGCGGGGAAAGAAGAUCCUGUUGAGCUUGACUCUAGUCUGGCACCGUAAGGAGACAUGAGAGGUGUAGCAUAAGUGGGAGACGGUA